rnacentral:rRNA from 1 species
UACGUAGGUGGCAAGCGUUGUCCGGAAUUAUUGGGCGUAAAGCGCACGUAGGCGGCUCGGCAAGUCGGAUGUGAAAUCCCUCGGCUCAACCAAGGAAGUGCAUCCGAAACUGCGGAGCUUGAGUACUUAAGAGGAUCGCGGAAUUCCCGGUGUAGAGGUGAAAUUCGUAGAUAUCGGGAGGAACACCAGUGGCGAAGGCGGCGAUCUGGGAAGAUACUGACGCUGAGGUGCGAAAGCGUGGGGAGCAAACAGG